rnacentral:rRNA from 1 species
GCGACAAGCGGUGGAGUAUGUGGUUAAUUCGAUGCAACGCGAAGAACCUUACCUGGUCUUGACAUCCCGGAGACCCUUAGGAAACUAGGGGGUGCUUCCAUCUGGAAGAAUCUGGAGACAGGUGCUGCAUGGCUGUCGUCAGCUCGUGUCGUGAGAUGUUGGGUUAAGUCCCGCAACGAGCGCAACCCUUGCCUUUAGUUGCCAGCAGUUCGGCUGGGCACUCUAAAGGGACUGCCGGUGUUAAACCGGAGGAAGGUGGGGAUGACGUCAAGUCCUCAUGGCCUUUAUGACCAGGGCUACACACGUACUACAAUGGCCGAUACAAAGGGCAGCGACACUGCGAGGUGAAGCCAAUCCCGUAAAAUCGGUCUCAGUCCGGAUUGGAGUCUGCAACUCGACUCCAUGAAGUUGGAAUCGCUAGUAAUCGUGGAUCAGCAUGCCACGGUGAAUACGUUCCCGGGCCUU